UGUGGUUAUUAUAGCAAAGAGGAUACACCUGUUCCCAUUCCGAACACAGAAGUUAAGCUCUUUAGCGCCAAUGGUACUUGGUGGGAAGCUGCCUGGGAGAGUAGGACGUAGCCGCGU
rnacentral:rRNA from 1 species